rnacentral:rRNA from 1 species
AAUGCUAAAAGAAUGGAAAUUUAAAGAGAAACUUUUUUAAAAAUAAAAAUUGAAUUUUUUUUAAUUUGUGCAAAAACAAUUAUUAUUAUUAAAGACAAGAAGACCCUAAGAAUUUAAGAUUUUUCUAAAAGAAAUUUUUUUUAGAAAAAUCUUGAUUGGGGCGAUCGAAAAAUAUUAAUAACUUUUAAUAAUUUAAAUUGAUCUAUUAUUAAUAAGCUAAUGAAUAAAAUACUCUAGGGAUAACAGCG